rnacentral:rRNA from 1 species
CCAAUCAAACUCCGUGAUAGCUGGUUCUCCCCGAAAUGCAUUUAGGUGCAGCGUCGCGUGUUUCUUACCGGAGGUAGAGCUACUGGAUGGCCGAUGGGCCCCACAGGGUUACUGACGUCAGCCAAACUCCGAAUGCCGGUAAGUCCAAGAACGCGGCAGUGAGACGGCGGGGGAUAAGCUCCGUGCGUCGAGAGGGAAACAGCCCAGAUCGCCGGCUAAGGCCCCUAAGCGUGUGCUAAGUGGAAAAGGAUGUGCAGUCGCAAAGACAACCAGGAGGUUGGCUUAGAAGCAGCCACCCUUGAAAGAGUGCGUAAUAGCUCACUGGUCAAGUGAUUGUGCGCCGAUAAUGUAGCGGGGCUCAAGCACACCGCCGAAGCCGCGGCAACGCAGCAAUGCGUUGGGUAGGGGAGCGUCCUGCAUCCGGUGAAGCCACGGAGUGAUCCAGUGGUGGAGGGUGUGGGAGUGAGAAUGCAGGCAUGAGUAGCGAUAAGGCAAGUGAGAACCUUGCCCGCCGAAAGACCAAGGGUUCCUGGGGCAGGCCAGUCCGCCCAGGGUGAGUCGGGACCUAAGGCGAGGCCGACAGGCGUAGUCGAUGGACAACGGGUUGAUAUUCCCGUACCCGUGUGUGAGCGCCCAAUGACGAAUCAUCGGUACUAACCGCCCAAAAGGUGACUAACCGAGUCCUUUUAGGACAAGGGGGUCGCCGGCUGCGCGGGACCUUCGGUGGUAGUAGUCAAGCGAUGGGGUGACGCAGGAAGGUAGCCGUACCAGUCAGUGGUAAUACUGGGGCAAACCUGUAGCGCGAGAUCUAGGCAAAUCCGGAUCUCUUCAUGCGUGAGAGGUGAUGCAUAGCCGAGUGAGGCGAAUUCGGUGAUCCUCAGCUGCCGAGAAAAGCCUCUAGCGAGCACACACACGGCCCGUACCCCAAACCAACACAGGUGGUCAGGUAGAGAAUACCGAGGCGUACGAGUGAACUAUGGUUAAGGAACUCGGCAAAAUACCCCCGUAACUUCGGGAGAAGGGGGACCCCCUGCGGUCAAGGCCCACGCGGCCGGCAGCGGCGGGGGGUGGCACAAACCAGUGAGAAGCGACUGUUUACUAAAAACACAGGUCCGUGCGAAGUCGCAAGACGAUGUAUACGGACUGACGCCUGCCCGGUGCUGGAAGGUUAAGAGGACCCGUUAACCCUCGGGUGAAGCGGAGAAUUUAAGCCCCAGUAAACGGCGGUGGUAACUAUAACCAUCCUAAGGUAGCGAAAUUCCUUGUCGGGUAAGUUCCGACCUGCACGAAUGGCGUAACGACUUCUCAACUGUCUCAACCAUAGACUCGGCGAAAUUGCACUACGAGUAAAGAUGCUCGUUACGCGCGGCAGGACGAAAAGACCCCGGGACCUUCACUAUAGCUUGGUAUUGGCGUUCGAUACGGUUUGUGUAGGAUAGGUGGGAGACUAUGAAACUCACACGCCAGUGUGGGUGGAGUCGUUGUUGAAAUACCACUCUGAUCGUAUUGGACUUCUAACCUCGAACCGUCUAUCCGGUUCAGGGACAGUGCCUGGUGGGUAGUUUAACUGGGGCGGUUGCCUCCUAAAAUGUAACGGAGGCGCCCAAAGGUUCCCUCAACCUGGACGGCAAUCAGGUGUUGAGUGCAAGUGCACAAGGGAGCUUGACUGCGAGACUGACACGUCAAGCAGGGACGAAAGUCGGGACUAGUGAUCCGGCACCCCCGAGUGGAAGGGGUGUCGCUCAACGGAUAAAAGGUACCCCGGGGAUAACAGGCUGA